CCUACGGGAGGCAGCAGUGGGGAAUAUUGGACAAUGGGGGGAACCCUGAUCCAGCGACGCCGCGUGAGUGAAGAAGUAUUUCGGUAUGUAAAGCUCUAUCAGCAGGGAAGAAAGAAAUGACGGUACCUGACUAAGAAGCCCCGGCUAACUACGUGCCAGCAGCCGCGGUAAUACGUAGGGGGCAAGCGUUAUCCGGAUUUACGGGGUGUAAAGGGAGCGUAGACGGCGAUGCAAGUCUGAAGUGAAAGGCGGGGGCCCAACCCCCGGACUGCUUUGGAAACUGUAUGGCUGGAGUGCAGGGGAGGUAAGUUGAAUUCCUAGUGUAGCGGUGAAAUGCGUAGAUAUUAGGAGGAACACCAGUGGCGAAGGCGGCUUACUGGACUGUAACUGACGUUGAGGCUCGAAAGCGUGGGGAGCAAACAGGAUUAGAUACCCCAGUAGUC
rnacentral:rRNA from 1 species